AACAGCUGAAAACUGUGUUCUGAUGAAAGAAGCAAUAAAACUAGCCUUUUAUAGACUAGUUGAGUAUCUGGAGAAUCAGCAUUUGUGGGUUCGAUUACAGGCUCAAAAUGGCCAGAAAGGUAGUGUAUGUUUCGAAAAGGAUGCGCAAAAAAUGACUUGAAUGGGAUUUAUGCUACAAAUUCAAAAACGUUAGCGUGUAGAAACAGUGCUAGGGAAACCAAACCAAAGCAUUGAUUGCUGUCAUAACUUGUCCAUAGACUGCUUACAGGGUAAGGAAACCAACGUUUCAUUUUUGGAAUUUGGGUGAACUAUCCCUUUAAAGGGUGCGUUUGCACUGUAUUAUUCACUCAACGGAAUACUACUCAAUCCCUGUAAGCCCCAUUUGUGGCUUGUGUUUUCCGUGAAAACCUCUGGGCAUCUGGUGAAGCCGCUACAAUGACAGAUUAGGCCCCUCCAUAUACGUCCCAUCUAUCUCUCUUGCCAGUUGGACUGGAUUGGUGGUAGGACAGCUUGUGUUUCAUCUUCGCCAAUGCUGCCAAUCCUGCUAAUUGUGCAUCUCUCCUCCCUGAGGCGACAUUGAUUUUCCUUCUCCUCCUCGCUGCUCUUUUUCCAUUCCCUUGUUCAUCCCAAGAAUCCCUGUAAAUCCCAGACCGGCUGUUCCAUGGAAUUCCCCUGUCCCAUUCGGAAAGUUAGACAGGAGAGGUAGGAUAGACGUAAUGCCUUGUUGCUGAGAUCUCUGUGCUUCUCCUCACUGCUUCUCAGCCGAUGCUAGUGUUGGCUAACAUCCUAGUCCUAGAGGACAGAGAGUGAGAGACAAAGAGUUUUCCCUAAUACAGUAUGUUUGAGGCUGGAGCGACUAGAUUGUGCACCUAGUUCUUCUACUUGCUCCCUCACCUAAGAACAAGGACAUCAAAGACCCAUUAAUAAUGUCAUAAUAACAGCCCAGUCAGGACUUGACCGUAUGGAGUUCACAGGAUAAGUCCUCCAAGGCAAUCCUCCAAGGCAAUUUCAGCAAACAUGGGGGGGGGGGGUGCUACAUUACACAUAUAGUAAUUGAUGUGUACUGAAAUGUGUUGCUAAUAAUUAUUUUUUAUCUGCGUUUUGCACAAUCAGACUGUAAACCGGACCUGCUUUGACUGUGGCUACAGUACAGUAGCAUUAGACCCAUCACCAGACCUACUGUGUGUAGCUGUUCAGAUUCCUGUCCGCAACAGCACACCCGUGUCCACCCACACCCUACUGCUCUGUUACCUAGGUCGCUGCAUUCAAUUGUUGCUGUCUACCAUUUGCAUGUACCUUCUAUGCAUUUAACAAGUAUCCAUCAUUUAAGAACCUGGAAAUGAGCUUAAACCCACUGAGCUACAACAAACCCCAAGGUUGAAGAAAACCUCAACGGACCUCUCCCACUUAAACUUGCCAUCUGCACUGGUACAAGAGCUGUCCAUAUUUGACUAGCAACAAUGCAAAAAUGAUUCCAACAUCCUAAGCAACUAAAGUGGAAAAUGCCUAUUGUCCUUUGGCAACACUUUACAUUACAUAGGCAUUAACUUACUAGCCUGUUAGUGUAAUAGGCUGUUCCACAGGUAGUUAAAUGUGUAUGAGGGCGGGGCCUAUGCAAUGACAGGUGUAGCCAAUGAUCUUAUAAUUAUGGUACUUUGCUUCACGGCCAGUUUAUAGAUUAUAUUUCAGAACAUUUAUUAUACAGACCAAAAUCUGUAUUUAUUCCAUCUGGUUUAUCAUUCUCUUUAAAUCAAAUUGAUUUAAUAAUUUAUGCCAGUCAGAUAAGCAAAAUACUGAACAAUGAUUGUACGUUUUUGUAUGUUUAUUUUUGUUGUUGUUGCUGUUGUGAUAUUUCUAACCAACAUUACAGACUAUGUUUAAAAUAAGAAACACAUUACAUUCUUAACUAUUCCAAAAAGUACUUCAAAUGUAAUUCAUGUUUGAUUAUUAUGUGUAUAAAUACAGUUAGAAUAAUUACGUUUAAAUUGCGAUGCAAAAGCUGUGAUUUUAAAACACUGUAGCGUGUACAGUGAUUCCUUUAUCAAUUGUAUGGUACAUGAUAUGUUCUGCAAUCUUGCAGUUGUUGUUUUCAGUUCUCGAGCAUAUGCUUUAAUAAAUACAUUUUCUACGGUAUACAAGGGAA